rnacentral:rRNA from 1 species
UACGAAGGGGGCUAGCGUUGCUCGGAAUCACUGGGCGUAAAGGGUGCGUAGGCGGGUCUUAAGUCAGGGGUGAAAUCCUGGAGCUCAACUCCAGAACUGCCUUCGAUACUGAGAGUCUCGAGUCCGGGGAGAGGUGAGUGGAACUGUGAGUGUAGAGGUGAAAUUCGUAGAUAUUCGCAAGAACACCAGUGGCGAAGGCGGCU